UACGUAGGCAGCGAGCGUUGUUCGGAGUUACUGGGCGUAAAGCGUGCGUAGGCGGUUGUCUAAGUUUGGUGUGAAAUCUCCCGCUUAACUGGGAGGGUGCGCCGAAAACUGGGUGACUGAAGUGUCGGAGAGGUAAGCGGAAUUUCCGGUGUAGCGGUGAAAUGCGUAGAUAUCGGAAGGAACAUCAGUGGCGAAAGCGGCUUCCUGGACCAGUACCGACGUCAGGCACGAAAGCGUGGGGAGCAAACAGGA
rnacentral:rRNA from 1 species